GUAGAUGCUAUUUUCUGAGAUUAAGCCAUGCAAUGUUUCUUAACAAGGACAAAUAGCUCAGUAAAACUAGGCGAUCUAACCUCGGCAUCGGAUAACCUUGGGAAACUAAGGCUAAAGGCUGAGGGUGACGCCUAGCACUAUCAGCUAGUAGGUAGUGUAACGGACUACCUAGGCGGUGACGGUUAACGGGAUACGAGAGUGUGAUACCGGAGAGGGAGCCUGAGAAAUGGCUCCCACAUCCAAGGAUGGCAGCAGGCGCGAAAAUUGUCCACUCUUUAUAGGAGACAGUUAUGAAAAGUAAAAACGGUGGGUCUUGUAAAGAAAGAUUCUAAAAUUGGAGGGCAAGUUUGGUGCCAGCAGCCGCGGUAAUACCAACUCCAAGAGUGUGUAUGAGAGUUGUUGCAGUUAAAAGGUCCGUAGUCGUUCAUGGAAAUAAGGCUUCGGCCUGUGCUCAAUGUGGAGGGGCUGAUGGGGACCAUAGUAUACAGUGGCGAGAGAUGAAAUGUCUAAACCCUCUGUGGACUCAGCGAGGCGAAAGCGGUGGUCUAGUAAGUACUCGGUGAUCAAGGACGAAGGGUAGAGGAGCGAAAGUGAUUAGAUACCGCUGUAGUUUUACCAGUAAAAGAUGCCGACUAUCCUGGCGUGCGCGGGCGAAAGCGAUGCGCAGGCUGGGAAUAGAGAAAUCGAUAAGUGUUCGGGCUCUGGGGAUAGUAUGCUCGCAAGAGUGAAAAUUAAAGAAAUUGACGGAGCUACACCACAAGGAGUGGAUUGUGCGGCUUAAUUUGACUCAACGCGAGGAAACUUACCAGGCCCUUUUGCACCUAAGAUACGAGGUGCGAAGGAGUGGUGCAUGGUCGUUGGAAAUUCAUGGGAUGACUUUGAGCUUAAAUGCUUGAAUGAGUGAGACUCCGUAGACUGGCUGCGUUAAGCAGCAGGAGGGUGGAGCUAUAACAGAUCAGUGAUGCCCUUAGAUGGCCUGGGCUGCACGCGCAAUACAGUGGGACGUAGGUAUAGAGACGUACAGGUCCCCAGAUGGAUUGCCGAUUGUAAGUUCGGCAUGAAAGCGGAAUUCCUAGUAAGCACGUAUUAUCAAUGGGUGCUGAAUGC
rnacentral:rRNA from 1 species